GGUGUCAUGGCAGAGUGGUCAUGCAGAGGUCUGCAACACCUUGUACAGCGGUUCAAUUCCGCUUGGCACCUCCA
rnacentral:tRNA from 1 species